CCCCUAGAUGUUCUGGGCCGCACGCGCGCUACACUGAACAGUUCAACAAGUCUUAACCUUGGCCGAUAGGUCUGGGUAAUCUUUGAACGCUGUUCGUGAUUGGGAUAGACCUUUGCAAUUAUGGGUCUUCAACGAGGAAUUCCUAGUAAACGCAAGUCAUCAGCUUGCAUUGAUUACGUCCCUGCCCUUUGUACACACCGCCCGUCGCACCUACCGAUUGGAUGGUCCGGUGAAAUCUCGGGACGGCGGCUUGGUCGCUUGCGUCCGACUGCUGAAACUUGAUUAAACCAUNUNAUUUAGNGGAAGGUGAANUCGUANCA
rnacentral:rRNA from 1 species